GAUGAAGAACGUAGCGAAAUGCGAUACUUGGUGGGAAUUGCAGAAUCCCGUGAACCAUCGAGUCUUUGAACGCAAGUUGCGCCCGAAGCCAUUAGGCCGAGGGCACGCCUGCCUGGGCGUCACACGUCGUUGCCCCCCCAUCUAAUCCUUCGGGAUUGCGGGGGGCGGAUGAUGGCCUCCCGUGCGCCUCGUCGCGCGGUUGGCAUAAAUGCCAAGUCCUCGGCGACGCACGCCACGACAAUCGGUGGUUGCGAAACCUCGGUUGCCCGUUGUGUGCGGUCGUCGCGCAUCGAGGGCUCGAAAAAAUUGCCGGGCUCCGGCUCGACUUUCAACGCGACCCCAGGUCAGGCGGGGUUACCCGCUGAAUUUAAGCAUAUCAAUAAGCGGAGGA
rnacentral:misc_RNA from 1 species